AAUGGAGAUUGUUGACGGAAAAUGUCUCUGAUGCAGCUAGUUAGACGUGGUAACUGCAGAUAAUCACGUGGCUACCGGCUACCAGCGAAAACAACAGAGGAAAUCGGGAAGAGAGGCAGCCAGGUUCAUAAGACCGUACAUAAGGGAUAUAAGGAAGUUUUUUCAAAAAACAGGAGCCACAUUCAGCUUCAAAGAAUGGGACCCUGGUUAGCAGAAAAGCAAACAUAACCAAACAUACAGCUUCGCCAAGGCCUGAGUCUUUGCCUCAGCUGCUGCAGAGGAAUAAAUAAAUCAUGAUGCAAGUAAUAUCAGAAAUGGAUACCAAGCAACCGUUUCACUGACUAAAACUGGACGGAGUCGACAUGCCUGGUUUGGAAGACCAAAGACAGGAUGACGGAAAUGUUUAACAGGCUAUUGAUUAAGCAGUCGUGGAUGGAAGCAUCUAUAAGAGAAAAGCACUGACCUGGAGUGCUUAUUGAUAAUGUAAUAACUAGCAAUGUUUCUCCAAAAUAAUCUGGUCUUCCUACACAACUGCCCUCUAAAGAGCAAUUUCUCACAAGAAUAAACAUGUCCCAAUAUUAAAUAUCUUCUAACUUUUUCCAGUCAGUUAUUUCAAUAAUGUGUUAUAAACUUUGGAAGAAUAAAUAUGUUUCAAUACCUUCAGAUACGUGGCUAAUUUUCAUCUUUGAUUUUUUUUUAUGUUUCUUAAAUUUAAAAACUUCUAUAUUAACAUGCAAAAAAAUGAUUUCAUAAUCUGUUUAUUUUGUAUUAAUUCAAACUGUGUCUGUUCUUUGAAUUAUUGCGGUUUAAAGAUUCCAAUAAUAAACAGACACUUGUAACGUGUUUGUUAAAUGAUUAAACUUCUGAUAAAAACCCCAUUAGGUUUACAAGAAACCACUGAUCGAUCAGAAUCCACACAACGUUAUCGCCCCAAGCCAAAGAUGGAAGAGUCGGCAGCAUCACUGAAGGGGCAAAUUUCACUGGCUGACUGCCAGGUCCCACCCCCAGGCGUGUGCGGCUGUCCCGAGCAGGGGGUUUACCCUCACAGACGAGAGGUUUCCUUGAUGAAGACUUGGGGCAAAAUAUUUGCUGUUUAUUUGGAGUCUGCGCUUCAGAAACCGUUCAGUAAAUUACAUUUCUUGACAUAGUUUUGAGGGAUAUUUGCAAACUGUGAACCACUGAAACACUGACAAUAAAUGCAGCUGUUCUUUGUAGCAACAUUUCUUAGCUACUUUAGUGUACAGCUUGGAUUCUCAAUCUGUGUCUUUGGCUGACUUUCUUGCAUGCUGUGUCUCAUAUACUUCACUGAACAGAGUUUUUGGUAAGAAGGAAGGACACUUGAAUAUUUGUUCCCCUUGAAAGGUAAGGUAGACUUCUGUGAAGAUGC